GCACUGUAAAAAAUUAUUUAGCAGUUUAGUUGUUUCAAUGAAUUUUUUUAUGUUGACACAACUUGCAGUUACUGAAUUUGUUCAUUCAACUAAAAAUUUUAAGUUUUCAGUGUCUCAACUAGUUUGAAAGUUGACUGAACUAGGUUAUUUGUCCUUAUAACUUAAAAAAAUUUGUUGACUCAAUUCAAUAGCAAUAUCACGUUCACAACAUCACUUAUCGCGAGAUCUCGUCAUUCUCCUGAAUGCUGUUGAAGAGAGAAGAAGGUCGUCAGCCAUUCUAGUCAGUUUCUCCUCAAAGUUUGGACAUUUGACUAAAAUACAACUUUGAUUCAGAGCAGAAUUCAAUAAUCCUGUGAAUGGACCACAGCGAGUCCUUUUGCAGUUAUCCAUCAAAAUGAUAUGCAGACAUAAUGGAAAUGGCAUUUACACAGUAGAGCUUGGACGAAGUUCACACAGGCUCUGCGCAGGAAUUCAUCAAGGACAUGACUGCUGGGAUUACGCUUGUGGAUGACCAAUCUGAGCACCAUCAGUCUGCAGUGAUGUGGUCCAGCCAUCCAGUGACAUUAAGGAUGUUGAGAAAGAAAUUGAAGAGGGCAUUCUGAUUGUAACUGAUGAACAGCAAUGUGAUGUGCUUCCCAAGGAAUAACCAACAUUGGUCUCAUUUGGACAUCCUGUCAUCACUGACAUCUCCCAUGUCCCCAAGGCAUUUGGACUCCUAAUGGGUCUGUAUGCAGUGAACAUCCACUACCUUCAGCGCAUUAAAUACACCAUUGAGGCUCUGCAAAAACUUGUGAAGAUCAGCUGCUCCCACCAUGUGCUCGCUACAGCGGCAGGAACUGUAGGUGUGGGGGAGUGAAUGUCCAGCGCCCUCUCCACCCUCAACACCACAAAUAAGGUGUCCUUGAGCAAGGCACAACUUCUCCCCGGGUGCUGCAGCAUAAAUGGAUGCCCACUGCUCUGGGUGUGUGU